UACGUAGGGUGCGAGCGUUAAUCGGAAUUACUGGGCGUAAAGCGUGCGCAGGCGGUUUGUUAAGACAGAUGUGAAAUCCCCGGGCUUAACCUGGGAACUGCAUUUGUGACUGGCAAGCUAGAGUAUGGCAGAGGGGGGUAGAAUUCCACGUGUAGCAGUGAAAUGCGUAGAGAUGUGGAGGAACACCGAUGGCGAAGGCAGCCCCCUGGGUUAACACUGACGCUCAUGCACGAAAGCGUGGGGAGCAAACAGG
rnacentral:rRNA from 1 species